rnacentral:SRP_RNA from 1 species
GCUAGGCAUGGUGGUGCAUGCCUGUAGUCCCAGCUACUGGGGAGGCUGAGGCAGGAGAAUCGCUUGAACCCAGGAGGCAGAGGUUGCAGUGAGCUGAGAUUGCGCCACUGCACUCCAGCCUGGAUGACAGAGUGAGACUCUGUCUCAA